CGAGCGCUCUCGGCAGCCAUUUUCCUAAAACAGGACUCAAUGGCCUAUAUGGGUUUCCUUUGUUCCAAAAGGGAUCUUACACUUGAUUUCCUCAUCUCUCACGGACUAUGAUAAAACUAUGAUUCCUCCUUUUAAAGGAUUGAGAAGAAGGAAGAGAAUGUACUGGAUGUAAUACCCUGUGACAUCUUGAGCCUUUUUUCCUCUGCUUGGAAUCCAUCUUUGUCUUAACUAGGUCACGGCACACCCAUAUAAUAGUAUUUAUAUUUCUUAAGUGAAAAGAAAACAAAUGUUGUGAAUAAACAGCUGUAUGAUUUUGGAGAUGUUAAAUUAAGGGGGGAGGGGGACACAGUUGAAGUGACAAAGUGUAAUGACUUAUUGUUGGCAUUGCACUUAUGGCCUUGUAGGAUAUGAGUAGCAAUGACAACGCUUUACACCCUGGUGGCUUGUGUUGUACCUUACCUACAACUGUGGAGACAACUUCAAGCACGAUUAGGUUUGUGCUGUCCAAUUGCCAUUUAAGAAAUGCGUCCAAAGUGUAAUCGUCCGGCUUGACCUUGCUUCAAGGGCAUAUUUAAAUGUCGCAAGAAGCCAACUCUGAUAGCCUUUUUUUUUUUUUUUAAAAACAUUUUUUCAACGUUAAAAAAAAAAAAAAAAAAAGACUGCCAAGAGGAAACAGAUGGAGGGAAAACUCUUAUGGUGAAAAUAUUUACCUCAGCACUUUGGUGAAAUGCAGUUAACAGGCCCAAAUGCAGGGGCAGGAGGAAUGUUUUCAGCUCCAUGUUCGGAUCCUCUAAUAAUGGCAUUAUUAAGGGGUGGGAUAGCGUCUCCUGCAAAGAAAGGAAUCCAUUAGCACGAAAGAUAGAGCUCUUUUGAAAAAGUUUUUUUUUUCUUUUGAUCAGUGCUAGGCAUUGCCUCUCUGCCAGCGAAUAUGCAUCUUCAAGCAUCAUCUGUGUGGGCAAUAUGCAAACCAUCUCCUCUCUCUCCUUGAAGACAGGAUUGCAGUCAAGUAUAACCUCGACAUUUCUAACUGAGCUACAUCAUAUAAACCACAAGGAAAUGUUGUUUUGAAAGACAAAGGAGAGCACCGUGCUGUAAAAUGUUGCUGCGCCAUAACUGGGAGAGGCUCGGUGAGAGAGAGAGAAAGACUCGUUUUCGGGGACAUUUUCUCGGUGAUACAACAGGAAAUAUUAACACCUACCGACACAUGGGUGGAUUUUACUCUUUUAACAAGAAUAAAACAGAAGAAAACAAGUGCGUGAAAGGAAGGAAACGAUAAUAAAUGGCGAGUUCAAGCUGUCGGUUGCUGGGCUGACUCGCCCUGGCAACAGCAGUAAUUCGAGAACUCUGGACGGUUGCCAUGAGAGCUCGAGCGUUCUUGUUGCAACCCCCACACUACCAUAUAAGGUCAUCAGGAAUCCUCUGCAGCAGCCCUGUUGUUCUGUUCAUGGGUGAAAAUAACACUGGGGGUGCUUCGGGCUUCCGCGCGUGCUCUCUGGCUCGAGACAAAGAACGGCGGAUCACUUGCACUCUUGUGUGCUUCAGAUAAGAUAAAAACUACCAAGAUUCGGUUAUAUAUUUUGUUCCGUUGGUGAGUUAAAAAUAGAGCUGGCGGUGGUGUUAUUUUGCGUUCAGGUUGGUCACUAUAGUGCCAGCAACACUCCUUUUUUUUUCCUUAUGUGAGCAUUUUUGUUAUGAGAGCACACAAACUCGGUGUGUCAGAGGCCUGUUUUUCUUGUUAUCCAGCUCGCGCGUUCUUCCACUUGCAGGUCACGAGGCUGCAUUCCUUUCAGUCCAACCCUGCUUUCUAACCCCCCAACCCCACCCUCAGGAGUGCAAUGGGGACAAAACUGUGCAGAAGGUUUUAUGUAUGUAAAAAAGGUUAAUUCUUUUUUUUUUUUGCGAUUAAAUCCGCCAAUGAGGUUAUUUAUAGGCCUUUGUUAGACAAAAAAAAAAAAAAAAAAUCCCCGGUGGGUUGCGCCAUUCAGCUUUUGCGCGCCGCUGACAGACUGGAAUAUUCCACACAGAGGAUUGGCCUCUCUUCAACAGGACAGCUGUCUCUCUCUGCACGGCGAAAAAAAAAACUAUUUUUGACUAUUCUUUGUUUGUUAAUUUAAUGAAAAGGGGCUGUGCACGUAUGGAUAUUUUGUACACCUUCAGGACAAUUUAAUAUCCUUUAUAGGCAACGGUAUUCAUAUGUUAGGCUGCCAGUUUCACCCUGUAAGUUUAACAAGCACUCUUUUAUUAUUAUAGGCAUUUUUCAUAGCAUGUACUACACUAUACUGUGUUGUAGAAGCAUAUGGAGCACAUGAGAAUUGCGUAUGGCUAUUUUUGUGAAGUCAGAAUAACCAGGCAGCCAGGCAAACCCUUUCUUCCUUUAUGUGUUCAGCCUUUUAUUUUGACGAUUUGUUCACUGAAAAAAAGGUAUCCUCAGUGAAUUGUGUUUUUAUGGGUACACUGACUUACUGAAAAAAAAUUCAUGCAUAUUUCUGGUACCGUAAUGAUGUUCUUAACCCUUGCUUUUCUUCUUUCUAGCCCUCUGAUAUUUGCAUGUUCAUUUUUAGUGUAAUAAUCUACAGUGUGGUUUGUGAGUUUUUUCUACUUGGUAAUAUUAUCAUCUGUCUGUGUUUAUGAGAUGUUAAAUAAAUAGACUAUACAAUCAUUUCAUGUUUUGUUGUUUUGGAAUCUGAAUAGGUUGUUGUUUUCUGCUGAACUUGGAUUGCAAUUUUAAA